rnacentral:rRNA from 1 species
GAUGAACGCUGGCGGCGUGCCUAAUACAUGCAAGUCGAGCGAACGGACGAGAAGCUUGCUUCUCUGAUGUUAGCGGCGGACGGGUGAGUAACACGUGGAUAACCUACCUAUAAGACUGGGAUAACUUCGGGAAACCGGAGCUAAUACCGGAUAAUAUUUUGAACCGCAUGGUUCAAAAGUAAAAGACGGUCUUGCUGUCACUUAUAGAUGGAUCCGCGCUGCAUUAGCUAGUUGGUAAGGUAACGGCUUACCAAGGCAACGAUGCAUAGCCGACCUGAGAGGGUGAUCGGCCACACUGGAACUGAGACACGGUCCAGACUCCUACGGGAGGCAGCAGUAGGGAAUCUUCCGCAAUGGGCGAAAGCCUGACGGAGCAACGCCGCGUGAGUGAUGAAGGUCUUCGGAUCGUAAAACUCUGUUAUUAGGGAAGAGCAUAUGUGUAAGUAACUGUGCGCAUCUUGACGGUACCUAAUCAGAAAGCCACGGCUAACUACGUG